rnacentral:lncRNA from 1 species
CAGGAACCACGUCUAGUUCUCUGUGCUGCAAUAUUUGCCACAGACUUACUUAAGCACUAAAAAUGAGAUACAGGAGCUUUGGCUUAAGGAAAUAUAGGCGUGGCUUCCUCUUGAUCCUUCCAGAAUAUCUCUACUAGCAUUGGGAUAGGGUUUGCCCGCCCUCUGGCAUCCUGUCUCACCUGCCUCCAUGCUUCUAAGACCAGGGAGGAGCAAUUGCGCAUCUAAGCUUCGGCUCACACUAUCAGGCUUCAGUUUUCCUCAGGGGUCUCUGUGUAGCGCCAUGGCCAGGCUGUCCUCCUGGCUUGAGUAUGUUCUCAUUUCAAGGCACAUGUUUCUGACUUCAGGGUACUUCCCUGGGUCAUGUGUAUUAUCUCCCCACCUGGUGGUUCAGGGGAGAGGAGCCCGUCUUUUCAAAGAGCUUGGAGUCCCUUGAGCUGUUGAAUAAUAACUUCAUGAAGGUAGGACCAGAGCGAGCUUGGGCUGCUCUGUGAUGCCGCGGUGAAGGGCUUCUCUCCUCCCCUUGUUCAUUCCCUGUUGCUGUAGGAAGGUUGUCUGGCUUUGAACCCUCCCAAGAAGGCGACUUCUCCAACCUGUGACUGUUCCUUUUCCGACGGAAACAAAGCACAGCUGGCCACACAGAUCACUGCAGCUCUUUCAGGAAGCACGGUGAGCCUUUGGGGAAUGAGGCUCGACUCCCAAGGCAUCAACCCGCUUGGAUUGGAAUAAAUUAAGCCCAUUAGGAACUCCUCCUGCAAGCCCCCCUCCACCCUGAGACACCUCUACUCUCCUGCAUGACUGGCUCAUUGAAACUCUUCCCAUCUGUUUCAUCCCCCCAGAUUCUCCAGAGACAUUGAAAUUCCCUGCCUCACAGAAUCCUCCCAGCUGGAGUUUGAAAAAAUGUUAGCCAUGUCUACCAAAGAGAUAUUUAAGGCAAAAGUAUACUAAAGAUUGAAAAUUUUUAAAUGGGAAAAAGAUAGUUCAGGCAGAUUGAACAAAAGCCACAGCAGCAAUUUUAACAUUAGCAAUUAUAAGAUGGAUGAUCCGAGCCUCGUCUGCAACCUAUCCCACAGCUCACGGCAACACCGGAUCGUUAACCCACUGAGCAAGGGCAGGGACCGAACCCGCAACCUCAUGGAUUGUAGUCGGAUUCGUUAACCACUGUGCCACGACGGGAACUCCUAUUUAAAAAAAGUUUAAGUAUAGUUGAUUAAAUGUGCUAAUUUCUGCUGCAUAGCAGAGUGAGUUGGUUUUAUACUCAUACACAUACACACACACACAUUUUUUGAAAAUAAUCUCUUCCACUAUGGUUUAUUGAAUAUAUUGCAUAUGGUUCCCUGUACUAUGCUGUAGGACUUGUUGAUCCAUUCUCUGUAUAAUAGCUAACUCCAACCUCCCACUCCAUCCCUUCUCCAACACCUUCCCCCUUGGCAACCCCAAGUCUGUUCUCUGUAUCCGUGUGUCUAUUUUUGUUUUGUAAAUAGGUUCAUUUGUGUCAUAUUUUAGAUUCCACAUGUAAGUGAUAAACAUAUGGCAUAAGUCCUUCUCUUUCUGACUUAGUGUAAUAAUCUCUAGCUGCAUCCAUGUUGCUAAGAAUGGCAUUAUUUCAUUCUUUUUUAUGGCUGAGUAAUAUUCCAUUGAAUAUUCUCUCCAUUCAACUGUCCAUAGACAUUUAGGUUGUUUUCAUAUCUUGGCUAUUGUGAAGAGUGCUGCUAUGAACAUAAAGGUGCAUGUAUCUUUUUAGUUUUGUCUGAAUAUAUGCCCACGAAUGGGAUUGCUGCAUCACAUUUAGUUUCUCUCUUUAGUUUCCUGAGGAAUCUCCAUACUGUUCUCCAUAGUGGUUGUACCCAUUUACAUUCCCACCAACAGUGUGGGAAGGUUCCUUUUUCUCUGCACCCUCUCCAGCAUCUGUUAUUUGUAGGCUUUUUGAUGAUGGCCAUUCUGACUGGUGUGAGGUGGUACCUCACUGUAGUUUUGAUUUGCUUUGCUUAGAAGUCAUUUUAAAGCACUGAUGGAAAUAGAAAGUGUAAUGUAAAAUAUGAUAGAAACAAGACCCAACAGCUCUCAUGUCUGUCCAGUGUAAAUGGUCCAGAUACACUGGAAGAAAAAGGCUCAAAUUGUAGCAUAAGGAAAACCCAAGUAUACACUAUAUAAAAAAGAGACAUCUUAAAGUGAUUCAGCACAGCUGAAAGUAAAAGGAUGGGGAGUUCCCUUAUGGCGCAGGGGGUUAAGGAUCCGUCGUCCCUGCUGUAGUUUGACCUCUGGCCCAGGAACUUCCACAUGCCGUGGGCACGGCAAAAAGGAAGGAAAGUAAAAAGAUGGGCAGAAGGUCUAUCAGUGAUACAUGUGGAAAAUAAGAUCAAGGAGUGCUGAGAGGCACAUGCACAGCUUCAAAUACUUAUUGUCUCUAAACCUGAAAAGAUGACAUUGUCAGGGAAACAGAAGGGAAGCAGUGUUCCGAACCUCACUGUGAAAGCUGAAUGGGAGCAGAAAGCAGAGAAAAAGGACGCAUGAUAAUAAAGAGUAUAAUUCAUGAAAUCUAAGAUUACGAAUAUGUGUAACCUGAUCACAUUUUUCUUCACAAAAGUGAGAGGAACUACAGAGGGUGAGAAAAGCAUAUUAGUAAACAGAGACUUGCGUUCAUCAUUUUCAGCCCAUGAUGGAGCCAGUUUGUAAAAGAUAAAGAGUUUUGCAGACCUGAACAACAUAAUAAAAUAGGUCUGACUAGCAUAUAUCUAUCAAAUUUUGUCCCUAAAAACAGGCAAGGCCUUUUCAAGUUCCAGAGACAUUUACAAAAAUGGUUCCAUAUUUAGUUGAUGUUUGUCUGCUUCCUCUGAAUGAUGAGCUCUGUGUUAGCCAUAUUUCCCCAGGAACUAACAGAGGUGACCAAUAUUUUUGAAAAAGUGAAAGAAAUAAUGCACACGCACACACACACACACAAAACAAAUGGGCAGGAAGCCGCAGGGUGGGGCAGGGGGGCAGUUUUAUUAUUUGAAUGUUCAUUAUUUGAACAGAAACAAAGGUAUUUCUGUUCAAAUAAUAAACGAAUGUGGAGUUCCCGUUGUGGCUUAGCAGGUUGAGAGCCUGACACAGUCUCUGUGAGCAUGUGGGUUUGAUCCCUAGCCUUGCUCGUGGGUUAAGGCUAAGGUGGCCUGGAUCCGGCGUCGCUGUGGUUGUGGCCUAGGCCGGCAGCCGCAGUUGCAAUUGCACCGCUAGCCCAGGAACUGCCAUGUGCUGCAGGUGCGGCCUUAAAAAAUACACCAAACCAUUUUACCUGUCACCUUGGCAAAACUUAACAUGCUCUAAAUCCUUGCUGUCUGUAUAAAUGGACACCUAGGUACUGUGUCAACUCUGCAAAAUGUCAAGCGGAACAGAUAACACAAACGGUUUUUUCCAGUUCCUGAUCCUCUCAUGGCAACGGCUGAGAUGAGCCAUGACCUUGAGGAGAUGUACUCCCUGUGUUAGGCCACGUCCUAACGCUACCUUUAUUUCAGCGGGUGGCGAGGCCACCGGCAGGGUGACAUAUGGUGCUGAUAGGCCAAAGCUGAGGUCGACACAUUGUGAACAGGCCCCAGGACGUCUGCUUCGCUGUUUGUGCCCAGCACGGUAAGUGCACCUCGUUCAGCUCCCACCCUGGGCUGGCAUUUCGUCUACAGCUGAUGCGUGAAUUUGCCACGUGGAACUCAGACCACAUUUUCACAUAGCAAUGAAGGUGCAUGUCCAGACUACCCCAACAAAAACUAUUUGAGUUAUUGAAUCUUCGAGCUUGAAAGGUCUGUGGAAAUUACUGGUUGAACCUCCUGCUUUCUCCUGUAGCAUCCUGAUGGAUUCUGAUCAAGUAUCUUGGAUUAGGAGAGCCUAUGGCUGGGGGAGAUGGGCCCCCAGGGCUGGUAGGAACAAAGCAAAAUAAGAAGCAAAAGAGAGGAUUUUGAAGAUCCUGCUUCGGAAUCCUGCCUCCUUCAAGUUGGGCUUCUUCCUAGUCUAACCACCUCCAGUAAUAAGAUCUAAUCUCAGCUACAUCCAGAGGGAUCGUUGGAGUCCAUGUGCGUGCAGUAACCACGGGGUUGGAGGACAAGAAUGGUGACAAAUCCAGGUCAUCUUAAACCCUUACGACCCCUUAGUUCCUCGUGUGUUGGCUCAGACUGUGAUUAUUUAAAUAAAGACCUCUGGUUAAUGAUGGCAACUCAAACACAUGCUCCCUCCUGAUGAUAAAACAGCAGUGAAGGAAAAAACUAAAUUCCCAGGAUUAAGUGAAAACGAGCAGCCCAUUUUCCACGUCCAGCCCCACAAAGAAGCAAGGAGGAUCAUCAACCUUCCGACAGAAGAGUGAAGUAUCUACUCCGGGUAUUUUACUAGACACAGGAGAAAAGACCCAAGGAUACCCAUGUUACAGAAGAAGCGAUCUAUUUGGACGAGGCUUCAGGGGAGCCCUGGGUUAGUAAGUGCCACCAAGCCUCAUCCAAGGGCAGAGAGCUUUGUAGGGCCCUGCCCUUAAACGCGAUCAGACAGCCAAGGAUCUCAAAUACAGUUUUUACAAGAAAGUGAAGUAAGUCAGAGGAAGACAAAUAAAUACCAUAUGAUAUCACUUAUAUGUGAAAUCUAAUAAAAAUGAUAUAAAAGAACCUAUUUACAAAACAGAAACGAACAUUUCAAAACCAGUCUUCUGGUUACUGUAGGUGAAGCCAUUGGGUGGCGGGAAGAACUGGGAGGGUGGGAAUAACACGGACUCACUGCUGUAUAAAAUAAAUGAUUGCGAACCUGCUGGAUGGUGCAGGAAAACCUACUCAAUAGCUUGUAGUGAUUUACAUGAGAAAAAAGACUGGAUAUAUUUAUGUAUGUGACGAUUCACUUUGCAGUACACCUGAAAUGAAUACAAUGUAAAUCAACUAUACUCCCGUAAAAGUAAAUUUCAAAAAAUAAAAGAGGCCAAAAUAAACAGUUACGAAGCAACGCGAAGGAAACAGAGACCCCACCAAAUGACCGGAUAAUGAUUGCUGUAUUGGAUCAAAGCUUUCCUGAUAUGAAUGUGAAUAUAAAUGCUUUAAAUAUGUUAAUUUUUUGUGCUGCCCAGGGGACAAAACAGAUGAUACGUGGAAAGACUGAGAAAGUUAAACCCAGUCUAUGCAAUUCAAACAGAAACUCCUGUUCAAAGAACAAUUAUAUUUACAUGGCCCACCACGGAAUUGAAUAAAACAAACACCAGCUUCCAAGAUACAGUGAAAAUCCAGAAUGUCGGAAAAUAAAGGGAGAAGAUGUGUUUGCAGUGCGUGUGUGAGAGUGAGGGCAACGAGAGAACCAGGGUUUUGAAAGAUUCCAAAUCCAGAGGAGGUCGCGUACCUGCUGCCUUUAUCCCUUCAAGUUUGCUUUGGGAGUGGGCACUUGCCACCUAGAAAACCACCGCAGCAAUGACAGGAACUAAUGACUGAAAAAACAUUUUAAGACCACUGAUUGUGGUCUAUAAAGUUUUAGCCUCUAAAAUGCCAUUGAAUAAACAUGUAGUGUUUCUUUUUGUUUGCAUUAAGCUCUAUAAACUACUAGAGCCUGUGGGCCAAAUUCUGCCUGCCACCUGUUUUCGAACAGAUGGAGAGCUAAGAAUAGCUAUAUUUAAAAAAAUUAAACUUUUGAGAUAAUUGUAGAUUUAAAUGCAGUUGUGAACAGUAAUACAGGGAUCCGUGUACCGGCGACCUACCUCUCCCCAGUGUUAACUUCUGCAGACCUUUUCCAGUGACCUAGUACAACCCAGCUGUUGACAUGGGCACCGUCAAGAUACGGAACAGAGCAUCAAGCGCCAAAUGGAUGCGCUGUCCCCCUUUUAUAGCCACACCCACUUCCUCUCGCCCCGCUCGCUCCAUCGUCCCAUGGCAACCGCUCACCUGCUUCUCUUCAUGUCUAUGACUUUGCCAUUUCCAGAAAGUUAUAUAACAAAAUGUAGCCUUUUAGGAUUGACUUUUUUUUGCUCAGUAUAGAGUUCUAUCGGCUUUAUAUGAUAGGAAUCAAUUGUGGUUUUGGUUUUUUUGCUGAGUGGUUAUCUCACGGAAUGAAGGUACCCUGUCCUCCACACCCCCUGCCUUUUAAAACUAUUCACCUGUUCAAGGACAUCUGUGUUUCCAGUUUGGGGUGGUGAUGAAUAAGGCUGCUGUGAACAUUCAUGUAUGGCUUUUGGUGUGUGAACGUAAGUCUUUACUUCUCUGGGAUAAAUGCCAAGGAGUGCAAUUGCUGGGUCAUGUGGCAGCUGCCAAACUGUUUUCUGGAGCCGAGGUACCAUUUUCCACUCCUACCAGCAGUGUGAUCCAAUUUCUCUGGGUUCUUGCCAGCAUUUCGGGUUGUCACUCUUUUGCAUUUUUAGCUAUUCUGAUAGAUCUGUAAUGUUAUCUUACUAUGGUCUUAAUUUGCAUUUCCCUGAUGACUAAUCAUGUUGAACAUUUUUUAUGUGCUUAUUUGCAACCCGUAUAUUCUCUUCAGUGAAAUAUGUCUUUGUAUCUCUUACCGUAUUCUGAUUGGAUUAUUUAUUUCUUUAUUUUUGUACUUAGGUUUUGAGAGACUGGUCUAUAUUCCAGAAGUUAGUUCUUUUUCAGUUUAUGGUUUGCAAGUAUUUUCUCUCGCUAGCUUUUUUCAUUUCCUUAACAGGGCCUUUAGCAGAGCAAAAGUUAAUUUUGAUGACAUCCAGUUUAUCAAUUUUCCCUUGUAUGGAAUGAGCUUUUCCUUUAUAGCUAAGAACACUUUGCCUAGCCUGAGGGCUCAUAGCUUUUGUCCUAUGUUUUUGUUCUGAACAUUUUAUAAAGUCCAUGCUCCAUUUUUAAAAUUUUUUUUAUUGAUUUGGGGGGGGGUGGGGUGUCUGUGGCAUGCAGUGGCUUGAUGUGGGAUUUCAGUUCCCAGACCAGAGGUUGAACCUGGGCUCAGAGUGAAAGCACUGACUCCUAACCACUAGACCACCAGGAAACUCCCCAUACUCCAUUUUUGUGUAAUUUUAAAAUCACCAAUAAAAGUUAAUUCUUGUAUAA